UUCCCAAACUCUCCUCCUCUCAUCUUCCUCUAUUUCUUUGAAUUAGAAACCCUAGUGGUUUCUGCGUUCUCUCGAACCUACUCGCUUUCUCAGCUCUCACUCUCUUCACUCUGUCAUAGAUCUGAAACCUAACGCUCUUAGAAUUUUAUCCACCGAUCCAAACUUGCAGUGGACCCUAGAUAUGUUAAAGCCUCCAAUCUUGAACCCUCCUUUAUGUUAUAUUCUCACCCUACAAAGCACCGAGAGGAUCAUGGCUCAUGUUUCAUGGCUCCCAUCAUGAAGCAGAAGACUAUGGUAGGAAAACAAAGCUUGAAGAGCCUAUGGUCAAGUGAGGGAUCCAGGAGGGGGUGAAAUUCGAGACUCGUUCGGGGUAGCCGAAGACGAAAUCGAAAGCUGAGUUCCCUAUUCUUUCUCUAUCUUAUCAUACUUACUAUUCAUUUUAUUAUUAUUAUUAUUAUUAUUAUUAUUAUUAUUAUUUUUUACUUCUUUGUGUGUGAGGGUGAUACUGAUCUGCUUUGUGAUGAUUGUUGUGAUCCCAAUUUGUGUUGGCUUUGGUCCUGGGAUUGGGAGAGGUAGGGUUCGGUCUCAAGUCUUAGGUUGAAGAUGGAUAUGAGCCAACGCGUGUCGAAUAUAGGGGAGGUGAGCAAUGGGUUGACCCGUGCGAGUCAACCGAGUGAAUUAAGGGAACUCAGAUAGGCCUGGGUGAGUGGGUUGGCACAUGUCUGAGACAUGUGUGGGCUCUGAGAUUUGGGCUUGAGUGAAGGCUUAGUUAGAAUAGGUUAAGAGGUUUUUAUGGGCUUGAAGGUUAUUUUUAAAAAAUGGGCCGAGGUAUUUUAUUUGGCUAAAUGGGCUUGGGGCUUAUUUUGAAAACAGGCUGGGGUAUUUGUUUGGCUAAAUAGGCUUGGGGGUUAUUUUGAAAAUAGGCCGGGGUAAUUUCUGAAAAUGGGCUUAUUUUUAAAAGAAGAUUGGGCUUUCAGCCGGCUUUAAAACAAGGCUUGGACCUCGUGGGUUAAGUGUUUGAAAACAGGCUUAAGGUUCAGUGCUACCAACACGGGCUAUGGGUUUAUCUCUAAAAUGGGCUUUAGGCUCUAAUUUCAGAAUGGGGCCUCGGGUUUGGAUCAGGGCUCAGGUCUGCGGGUUUGGAUCAAAGGAUCCAAAUCUCAGGCAAAUUCAAAAUGUUAUUUAAUUUCGAGUUCUAAUCUAAAGCUUAAAGGCAAACACCUACAAUCACACACACACACAAGCCGAAUUUGAGUAGAGUUAAACUUAGCCAGAAGUUACCUCUUCUCUUCCCUCCUCCUUUCUUCUUGUCCCAAGCUCCUGGGGGAUCUGCCUAGGAUAUUUGGGAGUUUUGGUUCUGCUUCUGAGUCUCUCGAUGCUACAGGUAAUCCUAAGGGUCCAUGUGGUAGAUGAGGAAUGGAGGGCUUUUGGGAGGUUUCCAGAUGGCAGCACCGGGAUGGAGGGCAAUGGAAUCUUCUUGUUGUAUAUGGAUUAUUAUUUUGCAUUUAUUUUUUUAUUUCUUUUUGGCUAAUGCAAUCUGUAUGCACCUGGGAAUUCUCUCCUGCAACAAUUCUUUGUGUAAAACUUUAUUUUCAUUUCCCUGUAUUUUUUGUAUUUUGUAUUUUUUUUCUGCAUGCCUAUGUAUGUACCAUCCUAAUGCAUGACUUCACUCGUACAUGCACCUCCCCCUUUUGAUUAAUAAGAUUGUGACACAUGCACUUCAA